rnacentral:rRNA from 1 species
CGCGGCCUAUCAGCUUGUUGGUGGGGUAAUGGCCUACCAAGGCGGCGACGGGUAGCCGGCCUGAGAGGGUGUACGGCCACAUUGGGACUGAGAUACGGCCCGGACUCCUACGGGAGGCAGCAGUGGGGAAUAUUGCACAAUGGGCGCAAGCCUGAUGCAGCGACGCCGCGUGGGGGAUGAAGGCCUUCGGGUUGUAAACUCCUUUCGCUAGGGACGAAGCUUUGUUGUGACGGUACCUAGAUAAGAAGCACCGGCUAACUACGUGCCAGCAGCCGCGGUAAUACGUAGGGUGCGAGCGUUGUCCGGAAUUACUGGGCGUAAAGGGCUCGUAGGUGGUUUGUCGCGUCGUCUGUGAAAUUCUGGGGCUUAACUCCGGGCGUGCAGGCGAUACGGGCAUAACUUGAGUGCUGUAGGGGUAACUGGAAUUCCUGGUGUAGCGGUGAAAUGCGCAGAUAUCAGGAGGAACACCGAUGGCGAAGGCAGGUUACUGGGCAGUUACUGACGCUGAGGAGCGAAAGCAUGGGUAGCGAACAGGAUUAGAUACCCUGGUAGUCCAUGCCGUAAACGGUGGGCGCUAGGUGUGAGGGUCUUUCUACGACUUUCGUGCCGUAGCUAACGCAUUAAGCGCCCCGCCUGGGGAGUACGG